rnacentral:rRNA from 1 species
AUUGAACGCUGGCGGCAGGCCUAACACAUGCAAGUCGAGCGGAUGAAGGGAGCUUGCUCCUGGAUUCAGCGGCGGACGGGUGAGUAAUGCCUAGGAAUCUGCCUGGUAGUGGGGGAUAACGUCCGGAAACGGGCGCUAAUACCGCAUACGUCCCGAGGGAGAAAGUGGGGGAUCUUCGGACCUCACGCUAUCAGAUGAGCCUAGGUCGGAUUAGCUAGUUGGUGGGGUAAAGGCCUACCAAGGCGACGAUCCGUAACUGGUCUGAGAGGAUGAUCAGUCACACUGGAGCUGAGACACGGUCCAGACUCCUACGGGAGGCAGCAGUGGGGAAUAUUGGACAAUGGGCGAAAGCCUGAUCCAGCCAUGCCGCGUGUGUGAAGAAGGUCUUCGGAUUGUAAAGCACUUUAAGUUGGGAGGAAGGGCAGUAAGUUAAUACCUUGCUGUUUUGACGUUACCAACAGAAUAAGCACCGGCUAACUUCGUG